rnacentral:rRNA from 1 species
GAGUUUGAUCGUGGCUCAGAUUGAACGCUGGCGGCAUGCCUAACACAUGCAAGUCGAGCGGAUGACGGGAGCUUGCUCCUUGAUUCAGCGGCGGACGGGUGAGUAAUGCCUAGGAAUCUGCCUGGUAGUGGGGGACAACGUUUCGAAAGGAACGCUAAUACCGCAUACGUCCUACGGGAGAAAGCAGGGGACCUUCGGGCCUUGCGCUAUCAGAUGAGCCUAGGUCGGAUUAGCUAGUUGGUGGGGUAAUGGCUCACCAAGGCGACGAUCCGUAACUGGUCUGAGAGGAUGAUCAGUCACACUGGAACUGAGACACGGUCCAGACUCCUACGGGAGGCAGCAGUGGGGAAUAUUGGACAAUGGGCGAAAGCCUGAUCCAGCCAUGCCGCGUGUGUGAAGAAGGUCUUCGGAUUGUAAAGCACUUUAAGUUGGGAGGAAGGGCAGUAAGUUAAUACCUUGCUGUUUUGACGUUACCGACAGAAUAAGCACCGGCUAACUCUGUGCCAGCAC